rnacentral:misc_RNA from 1 species
CGCACAUUGCGCCCAUUAGUAUUCUGAUGGGCAUGCCUGUUCGAGCGUCAUUUCAACCCUCAAGCCCUAGCUGCUUGGUGUUGGGCACCUGCGGGCCCCGUCCCGCAGGCCCCGAAAGUCAGUGGCGGGCGUGUCGCGACCCCGAGCGUAGUAGUUUACUCGUCUCGCUUAGGGCGUCCGGCGCCGUCCCUCGCCGUAAAACAGCUCUCCGGAGACUAUCACAAGGUUGACCUCGGAUCAGGUAGGAAUACCCGCUGAACUUAA